GGAGGUCGCAGCGCCAUGAAGUCCCUGUCUCUGCUCCUCGCUGUGGCUUUGGGCCUGGCGACCGCCGUCUCAGCAGGACCCGCGGUGAUCGAGUGUUGGUUCGUGGAGGAUGCGAGCGGAAAGGGCCUGGCCAAGAGACCCGGUGCACUGCUGUUGCGCCAGGGACCGGGGGAACCGCCGCCCCGGCCGGACCUCGACCCUGAGCUCUAUCUCAGUGUACACGACCCCGCGGGCGCCCUCCAGGCUGCCUUCAGGCGGUAUCCCCGGGGCGCCCCCGCACCACACUGCGAGAUGAGCCGCUUCGUGCCUCUCCCCGCCUCUGCGAAAUGGGCCAGCGGCCUGACCCCCGCGCAGAACUGCCCGCGGGCCCUGGAUGGGGCUUGGCUGAUGGUCAGCAUAUCCAGCCCAGUCCUCAGCCUCUCCAGCCUCUUGCGACCACAGCCAGAGCCUCAGCAGGAGCCUGUUCUCAUCACCAUGGCAACAGUGGUACUGACUGUCCUCACCCACACCCCUGCCCCUCGAGUGAGACUGGGACAAGAUGCUCUGCUGGACUUGAGCUUUGCCUACAUGCCCCCCACCUCCGAGGCCGCCUCAUCUCUGGCUCCGGGUCCCCCUCCCUUUGGGCUAGAGUGGCGACGCCAGCACCUGGGUAAGGGACAUCUGCUCCUGGCUGCAACUCCUGGGCUGAAUGGCCAGAUGCCAGCAGCCCAAGAAGGGGCCGUGGCAUUUGCUGCUUGGGAUGAUGAUGAGCCAUGGGGCCCAUGGACCGGAAAUGGGACCUUCUGGCUGCCUAGAGUUCAACCCUUUCAGGAGGGCACCUAUCUGGCCACCAUACACCUGCCAUACCUGCAAGGACAGGUCACCCUGGAGCUUGCUGUGUACAAACCCCCCAAAGUGUCCCUGAUGCCAGCAACCCUUGCACGGGCCGCCCCAGGGGAGGCACCCCCGGAAUUGCUCUGCCUUGUGUCCCACUCCAGGUCCCAGUCCUCUGUUCCCUUUGCCUGGUCCACCCUUGCCCUCCCUGGGUCGCAGACGAGGUCGGCCUCGUCAUUCCCCGCAGACCGCCGCGCGUCCCUCUUGUGCGGUUCACCACAGUUGUAUUUAAGUGAUCGUGUGAGUCGUCGUUAAAUGCCUGUCUCCCCGCGGAUCAUGGGCUCCUCGAGGACAGGGACCGGCCUGUCUGUCCACUGCUGUAACCCCGCGCCGGCAUAGGGACCUAAGGCCCACUGGAGGGCGCUCAUCAAGUAGCUGCUGGAUGUUGACGAAGGAAGCGGCGGCGCAGCUCAGGGAUCUCCGAGUCAGGACGGUCGGCCAGACCCACGGGGUAACGGGUCUAA
rnacentral:misc_RNA from 1 species